rnacentral:lncRNA from 1 species
ACAGAUGCAGCCUUGCUGGAAUCAGCAAGAACAACCACCCCCAGGACUUCAGCCUCAACAUGAGCUAACAGGCAUUAAAAGCCCUCAGGUUUGAUUGUCUUCACUUAACUGGCAUUAUUAUGGAGUUGUAGACCUGGUGUGGGGAGUAUGGGGAUCAACCUCAGAAGCCUCCAGAGAGAGAUUGGUGGACUCUAGGAGUGUCGAUCUCAGACUGACCAUCGCUGGGGCCACAUCCAAGCAGCAGCCCUUUGUCCAGAGCCAUUUCCUCCACUGGCCUCAGUUUCUGUAGGGCCCAGAUGGUGCUGAAGUCAGAUGCCAAGGGGAAAGUGACUUUACCCACGAGAGAGAUUUUUAAAUAUUCCCCCAACUGCUCCGAUGGGACCGUCUAGUUACAGGAAAACAAGCUCAAGGCUCCCACUGAUUCUACAUUACGGUGAGUUGUAUAAUCAUUUCAUUAUAUCUUACAAUGUAAUAAUAAUAGUCCAUGGAAAAACUGUCUUCCCUGGUGCCAAAAAGGUUGACGGCUGUUCUGCAGCAAGGUCUUUAAACAAUGCCUGUGACAUAGACAAUCCCUCAGAAAGAUGCUUAUCUAACGUUCCCAGUGGUCAUGACUUUUGGCAAGAAAGUUGGAGAUGUGACCAGCUGCACAUGACUUUACCUAAAAGCUUGCUAUGUAAAGGACACUUUCUGGAGAGUGGGUGUAGGAAUUCACUGUCUCACUGCUGCCCAAGACAGCACUACUGUUUGUAAGCCCCUAUUAAAUAUUUCUUUCUGAGAAAGUGGAUUUGUCAGCCUCUGUUUUUGGCCUUCAGCUCCCUUGGCCUUUGUGGGUAGGUUUGUAUAUACCUGCUCACUGCAGAAAAAUAUUCUACUCCAGUUUGUGAUAUAUUUGGGUUUACAGAUAGUCUGGUUACUGGAGUUUGAACCCAGUUCUGACUCCAAUGCUCAUGAUCUUUCACUCUACCACAUAGUCUUCCAGAAACAAAUCAUAUGUGGUCUCUGCCCUUGAUAGAUUCUCCAUCUAGCAUGAGAGAUGGGUAUAUAAACAAAUGAUUGCUGCAGAAAAUUUAAUAGAAAACUAAGGAAGGUGAUGCUAACUCUACCUGGGCAUGUCAGGGAAAGUAUCACAUAGGAGGGAGUAUUCGUAGUGAGUGUUUCCACCAGGAAAGACAAGCAGAGGGACUUUCCUAUGUACAGUAACAUGCUUCACUCAUAGUUUUAAAAAUUAACGUUCUCACCCUUUUUUCCCAGCCAUCGUUGGUGUCACCAAUCUCCCAUGCUCUCCUAAAAAAUUUUCCUUUUCCCGUUUUUGCACUUCUCCUAUAUAAUUAAUUUACAUGUCUUCUGUUUUCUCUAUACUUACAGCUCCUUGACCAAAAGACCAUGAUUUAUUUAUCUUUGUGCACCUAGCACAGUGCCUUACAAAGACUAGGCAUUAAUAAACACUCAUUGGGCACCUGAAGAUAGGUACAGAUUUCUAGGUAAAGAAACUAGGAUGUGCACAGGCCUUGUGGGCGAUGGAGCAUAGCAUGUUCAAAGGCCUGAAAGACAAGAUCAGAAUGACUAGCUAUUAGGCAGUAGUGGUGGUGGUGGUAAUAGAGGCAGAGUGUUCAGGAAGGUGAUGUUGUAGGGUAGAGUAAUCUGAGAUAAAACUGGGACUGGUUGGAGUUAGACCAUUAGGAUCUUAGAGAACAUGUUAAAGAUUUUGGUCUUCAUCCUAAGAGCAGUAGGAGGCCACGGAACAAAGGGUCAAUGGGUAACACACUGAAAAGUUCACCUGAGCUCCAUUGAGGGGUAAGGGCUGGGGACAAAUACAACAAGGGAAAAUAUAGAAGGCUACUACAGUCAUCCAAAUAUUGGAUGUGGCUUUUAGUGAAGUUUGGAAGAAGUGCCCCUUUUUUAGGAAUACCAUACAGAAAAGUCACAUAUUUGAACAUAACUACUUGCCUAAUCCUUUUAGGAUUUUCUUUUC